rnacentral:sRNA from 1 species
CGCUUUCCGGCCCGCGGCGACCCCCGGUAACCGUUGUGGCUGCCGCAUUGCUCCCGCCGGGCUGUAGCUGAGCGCGGAGCCCGUGGGGGCCGGUGAGUUUGAAUUCCUGAGCUCUAGUCGGUGAGAGACGUGAUGUUCUACCGGUUGCUGUCGAUUGUUGGAAGACAAAGAGCCAGCCCAGGAUGGCAGAACUGGUUCUCUGCAAGAAACAGCACAUCAGCUGCCGAGGCACGUUCCAUGGCCCUGCCCACCCAGGCACAGGUGGUCAUCUGUGGAGGUGGAAUCAUGGGCACAUCUGUGGCCUAUCACCUCUCCAAAAUGGGGUGGAAGGAUAUUGUCCUUUUGGAGCAGGGCAGGCUGGCUGCUGGCUCUACCAGGUUCUGUGCUGGCAUCCUGAGCACUGCCAGGCACUUGACCAUUGAGCAGAAGAUGGCAGACUACUCAAACAAACUCUACCAUCAGUUAGAGCAAGAAACAGGGAUCCAAACAGGUUACACAAGGACAGGCUCAAUCUUUCUGGCCCAAACUCAGGACCGACUGAUCUCCCUGAAGCGCAUCAAUGCAGGGCUGAAGUACGUAAGAGUCUAGAAGCGUGUCCUGACUUUACCACACUGGCCUCUGCCAAAGAGCCUGUGAAUGUCAUUGUCCCUUGUGUUCUGUGGCAGUGUUAUAGGUAUCCCUUCUGAGAUCAUCUCCCCCAAGAAAGUGGCCGAGCUUCACCAUCUCCUCAACGUGCACGACCUGGUGGGGGCCAUGCAUGUUCCUGAGGAUGCAGUGGUAUCUUCCGCUGACGUGGCUCUUGCCCUGGCAAGUGCUGCCUCCCAAAAUGGUGUUCAGAUCUAUGACCGGACAUCUGUUCUUCAUGUAAUGGUCAAAAAAGGUCAAGUUACUGGAGUGGAGACAGAUAAAGGACAGAUUGAAUGCCAGUAUUUUGUCAACUGUGCUGGCCAGCUAUUGUGGAUGCUGAUGGAAGAAUUUAUAUUCGGAACUGGCAGGGUGGCAUCUUGUCUGGGGGCUUUGAGAAGAACCCGAAACCAAUUUUCACUGAGGGCAAGAACCAGCUGGAGAUUCAGAAUCUACAGGAAGACUGGGAUCACUUUGAGCCUCUGUUGAGUUCCCUUCUGAGGAGGAUGCCAGAAUUAGAGACUCUGGAGAUCAUGAAGUUGGUGAACUGCCCAGAGACCUUCACACCAGACAUGAGGUGCAUCAUGGGCGAGUCUCCUGCAGUGCAGGGCUACUUUGUCCUGGCAGGAAUGAACUCUGCUGGCCUUUCAUUUGGUGGAGGAGCCGGAAAGUACCUCGCCGAAUGGAUGGUACAUGGUUAUCCCUCAGAAAACGUUUGGGAAUUGGACCUGAAACGUUUUGGAGCCCUCCAGAGCAGCCGCACCUUUCUGCGCCACCGGGUCAUGGAAGUCAUGCCUUUGAUGUAUGAUCUGAAGGUUCCCCGCUGGGACUUCCAGACUGGUAGGCAGUUACGCACCUCUCCUCUCUACGACCGGCUGGAUGCACAGGGAGCCAGGUGGAUGGAGAAACAUGGAUUUGAGAGGCCAAAGUACUUUGUUCCCCCUGACAAGGACCUCCUGGCAUUGGAGCAGAGCAAGACUUUCUAUAAGCCAGAUUGGUUUGACAUCGUGGAGUCUGAAGUCAAGUGCUGUAAGGAGGCUGUGUGUGUCAUUGACAUGUCCUCUUUCACAAAGUUUGAGCUAACAUCCACUGGGGAUCAGGCAUUAGAAGUUCUACAGUACCUCUUCUCCAAUGACCUGGAUGUGCCCGUGGGCCACAUUGUGCAUACCGGCAUGCUCAACGAGGGUGGAGGGUAUGAAAAUGACUGCAGCAUGGCACGACUGAACAAGCGCAGUUUCUUCAUGAUCUCUCCAACCGACCAGCAGGUCCACUGUUGGGCCUGGCUUAAGAAACACAGGCCGAGAGACAGCAGCCUGCUCCUGGAGGACGUCACCUGGAAGUACACAGCCCUCAAUUUGAUUGGCCCUCGAGCUGUGGAUGUGCUGUCUGAGUUGUCCUAUGCCCCUAUGACUCCAGACCACUUCCCAAGCCUCUUUUGCAAGGAGAUGAGCGUGGGCUAUGCAAAUGGGAUCCGGGUGAUGAGCAUGACGCACACAGGAGAGCCAGGAUUCAUGCUCUACAUCCCCAUAGAGGUGAGAGGGCACCCCUCCCUUCCC